GGUGGAGGAGGGGGUGAAGGUUAAUGUGCAAUUUCUAGAUGAGAAUGCCUGUGGCUUCUCUUAACCACAUAAAUGAACAAGCACUGGCAGAGAGACAGAUGGCUUAGCUGGCCCAGAGCAGCCCCAGUGCUCUUAGGGAAGGAAAAGAGCCCCCUUCACUUCACUUCAGUUCCUCCUUUCCCCAGCAGGAUCUGGCACAUUUCAGAAGUUGCUGACGUGUUGAUGCCUGCUAAAACACAACGUGGGAAGAAGAAUGAAUGUGGGCAAGCUCGGCUAGCCACUCAGAGGGAAAUGAUCUCAUUUCUCCUGCUGGGCAACCCCCAGUUGCUGG
rnacentral:lncRNA from 1 species